rnacentral:misc_RNA from 1 species
UUGCAUUUUGUCUCUCUUUUUUUGCGUCGAGCGCUUAUUAGUUUCAAUUUGCUUGCGGCGAAAGUUGUUCGCCAACAAGUCGAACAAAUUAAAUAAUUUAACGCAAAGAAAGUUGCUCAAAUGGGCAAAAACAAGGGUGGAGGCGGUGGUGGAGGCGGCGGCGGUGGCGGUGGCACUUCCGGUGGUGGCGGCGGCGGCAAUGUAAGCAAUAUUUGUGUUAUGCAACUAACGUUUUAAUUAAAAAAGGCGGUGGAGGCGGAGGCGGUGGCGGAGGCGGCGGUAAAAACAAACCACCAAUUCCUGCGGCUGAUAAAGGUGGCAAGAAAG